AAACAAAAAAUAAGACAACAAUCAGUCCUAGGACAAAUUAGGAAACAAAAAUUCAUCUUCAUCUUUGUUGUCUCUAUCGCCGCCCUUACCUAUUUCUUCCUCAGCGUACAUUUGAAUUUUCGGUCAGCAUCACUAUCGUUGUUCUUCUGUAAGUUUGGUCUUCAUCUUGCUCACUGAAGGUAAGUCUCUCAUCUUUGUUUUCAUUGAUCUAAGCAAUAGUUCAAUGGGCUGAGCUUAGCUGGAAGCUGAUACCACUAUAUAAGCUAAAGAUUAAAUCUAGAAAACUAAAGAUUAGAGUUUUUUAGUGUAAAAAGGUGUUGUAGAUAAUGAAUAAUUUCAAGGAUUUUUUUAUAGAUCUAAAAUACCUACUUUUUGAAUACCCCACCUUCAACAUCCUUGAAUCUCACUGGAUGUAGGUGUUAUAUUCAAAAGAAAUCACUUCUAACAGUAGGUUUAUUCAUUUCCAUAUUUAAUCCCUAAAAUGUAUUACUUCAUCUAUUCCAAACUUUUCCUUGUCAAUGAUCGUAGGUCAAUGAUGAUAUUCCCCCGUAUCAGUUCCUUUGGAUGCGUGUUAAUAACCCAAAAUAUCACUUAUUUUCUAGAUUCUUGUUGAUAGUUGAUAGCUGACCACGAUUUAUUUUGCUAAUGAUUAAAAGAUUUGGUGACCCAAUCAUUUGUUAUGAUUACCUUGUUCUCUUUCCCCAUUUUAUCUACAUCAUGAUGACAAUCAAGUACUGUAACAUCAUCUUUUUGAUUCUGCAUGUGCUCUUUUAUGUCUUCUGUAAGUAAUUGGAAUUGAUUUUCAGUACUGAUCUUCUCCGAGAUUAUAGCCUUUUCACCUUGGUAACCUUUAUUAGUAAGUCUUCUUCUGGUGGGACUCCAUUUGUUUUCCUGAUUAUAAAACCAUUUAGCAGAUAUUUUUACUUUAUUACUCUCCUCUUCUUUACUAUGAUUAAAUUGUCGUGCAUUUUCUCCAUCUCCCUCAUGUUUCUACAUUAGAUUUGGAUAUAAAACUUGACAUUCUUGUUUAUUGUGACCUUGUAACAUACAUCUUUUGCAAUACUUAGGUAGAGAUUCAUAUUGAAUCAUUACUUUUUCUACUCUGGAAUUCCUAUUUGAUGAAUUCACUAUCUCCAUUUCAACAUAAUUAGGAAGGUCAGCAAGCAAAUCUAUCUGGACCUAACCCUAGCACAACUGGGUCUUAUUUUAUUCACAAUAGCCAUAUCCAAAUAUAUUGAUCUUCCAACUGUAGCGGCUAAUAAAAAGAGAGAUUAUAAAAAAAUAUGUAGGUUUAAGUUAUGAAAAUAAAUCCAAGCCAUUGCCUGUAUUGUUUUUGUAUUAGUCUGGAACUUAGCAUCAUAUAUAAACUUUUGCAUUUGAUAUGAAUAUCCGUCCUUAGAAUUGAUAUGUAUACAUUCUUGUACAUUACAGUAGAAAAAUCAUUAGCUCUAUCAAGCCUCGGUAAAAUAUGAUGAUUUUUUAAUAAACCAAUUUUACAUGCUCCUUUAACAUGUAGUUGUUUAGGGAGUUGUAAUCUUAGUUCAUCUAAAUUAAGCCAAUCAUAUGAGAACUUUCCAACAACUGCAUAUUGAAUCCCUUCAAUGAUAUUUAUUAUAUCGACCUCCUCCUCUUUCCAUUGUACUAUGCUAUUCCAUUAAUGAACUUCGGCUCUUUAAUAGGAAUAGGUUCAACUUCAGAUGAAUUAUUUAACCCAGUAUUGUGUUUCAACAGAUUUGCAAAGAUCAUUUUUGGAGAAAUUGAUAAAUCAUUAUCAGUUAAUGGGGGUGUAAUAUGUGUCUUACAAGGUAAUGACUGGAAAUUAUCCUUAUUAAUCUCUAUUGAAGACUGGUCAGCCAUCAAAUUUGGCUGACAACCAGCCAACUUGGCCAUGCCGGUAUGGAAAAAUUAAAACUAUGAUAGUGGUGGUGUAAAGAGUAGGAUGUCAAUAGGAGUCUAUUUUCAAAUAUACAUGCAUUUCUACAACAACUAAGGUUAUCUCGUCUGGUGUAUUCUUGCUAUCCCCGUGUUAAAAUUGUCCUAACUCGUCAUUCGAGGAUGAAUGAUCCCAAAGCGGGGAUAAUGUAAGACCCUCAAAAUUUUGGGCAUUAUGUUUCUGGACUUAUCGUGUUUGAAACAUCAAUAUUUUUUACAUAAAUAUUUUUAGGGACGUUAAUAGGGGGUCUCAAGAGUUUUUCAAAAUUUUUGAAAGGUUUUUUAGGGUAAUUUUGGAAUUCAUAGGCAGUAAGCGUCCGCAUUUUUUACGUGCCAUGGAGGAUAACCUCUGCAAUUUCAAUGUGAAAUGGAGGUAGUAUGCAUCUGCAAUGACUCCAUGUCAUGGAGGAUAAUCUCCAUGAUAAUCAACGUGGCAUAGAGGAUAGCCUCCGCAAUAAGUUCAUGUCACACUUAUGUUUAAAAUUUUUGCAGUUUUUAUUUUAUUCACUUGGGAUGGGGGUAAUGAAGAAGGUUUUUUGGUACUUUCACCCAUGUAUGAUCCUUAAAUAAAAAAUAAUUCAUUUUUAUCAUUUUUUCAAAUAUCAACUACUCUAUUUCACUCUAAAACUCAAAACCUAAGAAAAACUUAAGGGUUUCAUUGUGCAUUCAUCUUUUGAGUUCCAAGCUCCAAAUUGGUUUCAAAUUCUUGUUUAUCUAAGGCGUGUAUCUCUUUCCCAAAACUUUUUUGUUAAGAGCAUAUGUUCACUAUUGUUAUAUAUGUGAUUUAAGUGUUGUUUUUGAAUGUGGGUUAAGAGCAUAUGUUCACUAUUGUUAUAUAUGUUAUAUAUUGAUUGAAUUACUUUUCCCAUGGCUUUGGUGAAUAUUCAUGGUUUGAAUUGAUAGUUUUGAACUAAUUAGGUGCAUGGACAUGAUUAAUUUUUAUUAGGAUCGUGGAUUCCCCCAAAUUGAUUUCUUGGCUCAGAAUUUGUAUUAAUCUCAACUCACUUUAUGAAAUUGGUUUCGAAUAUGAAAAUACACAUGAUUUAACUCACUUAUGGAGCCUUGCAUUGCAUAAAACGUUGAUUGAAUGUUUUUUGAACUUAAAUUGGAACUUGGGGGUCAUGUAUUCCCCUAUAUGGAUGAAUAUUGAAACUUGUGGGGUCGUGGAUUCACCUAAGUAAUGGAUAAUUAGAAUGGCAUAAUGAUAAUAGCUUGCAAUCAUAAUCGGUAUUACGAUACAAAAGGUAAAUUCCUUAAUAGAUGAUUUUGGUUCAACAAAUGGGAAUGUGUAUAUAUAUGUAUAUAUAUAUAUAUAUAUAUCAUGGAUUAGUGAAGGGUGUUUGAUUUCUUAGCUUUCUUGAUACCUCUAAUUCUUGCGGCUGACACGCUCUAGGGACUUACCAGCGGGGAGAGAGCUAGACCCAUAUAGUCUAUGGGUACUUUUAUGAUGGUAAAGCUACAGAGUACAGACUAAUUUUUUAAAUAUCAUGCUAAGCCUUGUUCCCUAUCCUAGCAUAUUAUAUCUAUAUAUGUAUAUGAUUUUGUGCAUGUGGUUUUGAAUGAAUUUGGACUUAUUUGAUCAAGGAAUUAUUGUAUUCGUAUUCCCUUAGUUACAUGCUAGUGCUCACACCGCUAACCUUUUCCGAAUGUUGUAUCCCCAUGUGAUGCAGGAUACGAAGAUACUUCUACUUUCUUAUAUAGUAAUAGAUAAUUUUUGGAUUGUUCGUGAGUCAACUUAAAGUGGUGAGCCUUCUUAUUUCGAAAGGCUUGAUACUUUAUGGUUUUCUUUAUGUCUAGACUAUUGUUGGAUUCCUCUCUUAUCUAUCGUUGGGGGCAUGUCCCCGACUUAGGUUGUUCUUUGGAUAUUAAAGGCUUUGUGGAUUACUAUGGAUUGGGAUUGUUGUUGGAAAUCUUAGUUUCAUUUGAGCUAUUUGUUUAUCUUAAUCAUAUAUAUUUUGAUUGCUU